AACAGCCCUAUUACGUUCAACGUGAGAGGGAUGGUGACCUUCAGUGAAAGAUAGGCCUAUCAAAGGACACCAAACCUUUGAAGCAGAAGACUUUAUAUUAGCCAUUAUGAAGGACAGAUCUAACGUAAACUGCACAAUGUGGCGGAUCAAAUGUUUGCUGUGCUCUGGAUUUGAUCUUCAAAUCUUGUGCUUUGAACCAUGUGAGAAGGUGAAUUUUGCUCCUCGUCUUCAACUUCUGAAAGCAGCCGUGUCUUUUUCUCUACGACCCAAUCCCAAUCUUCUCUUAUCUAUCUAUAUUUAUUAUUUCAGCAUAACUCUGGAACACCUUGGGCAAUUUCAACCAAACUUGGUACACAGAUUACUACUUAUUCUCUGGAAACAAAUAUUGUGGGGGUAAGAUACCCCUAACACCUCUCAGGGUGUGUGUUCUUAUCGGGUGGCCUUCA